ensembl:lncRNA
UCUUGUGAAUGCUAACAGGAGAGGGUUGGUUUGCUCACAACUUGCUUGGCUCAAUCCUAUCCUAUUGUCAUAAAUUGAGCAAUGUUCUUUCGUGCGGGACUCAUAAAGAGAGUGGAAUGGCUGCGCACCCCAGGUCUUGUGUGUGUGUGUUUGUACAUGCAGAGAGAUAAAAGGCGGGCCGGCCGAGCACAAAAGGGAUGUUUUCUGGUUUUGUGUGUAAUGCGAGCCCCAGAAGGACACAGGUGGGCUGGUCCUGAGCUCCUGUGGUUCUGUAGGUCACCUGGUAUCAGUUAGAGCACUCUGGGCUCAGGACUCCGCUCCCUCUGGGUGAACACUGCCAGGUGGCUGGGGACCAGCACAUCCGGGACAUUCAACCUCUUCAGAGAAGGAGGGAGGGAGGGAGGGAGGGAGGGAGGGAGAGUGAGAGAAGGGGGGAGAAAAAGAGGUGAGAUGAGGUAUAGGGGCAGAGAUGAGAUGAGGUGUAGGGGAGGAGAUGAGAUGAGGUGUAGGGGUGGGAGGAGAUGAGGCAUAGGGGUGGGGAGGAGAUGAGGUGUAGGGGUGGGGAUCAGAUGAGGCGUGGGGAUGAGAUGAGAUGAGGUGUAGGGGUGGGGAUCAGAUGAGGCGUGGGGAUGAGAUGAGAUGAGGUGUAGGGGUGGGGAUCAGAAGAGGCGUGGGGAUGAGAUGAGGUGUAGGGGUGGGGAUCAGAUGAGAUGAGAUGAGGUGUAGGGGUGGGGAUGAGAUGAGGUGUAGGGGUGGGGAUCAGAUGAGGCGUGGGGAUGAGAUGAGGUGUAGGGGUGGGGAUCAGAUGAGGCGUGGAGAUGAGAUGAGACGAGGUGUAGGGGUGGGGAUGAGAUGAGGCGUGGGGAUGAGAUGAG